UUUGGCUGCUCUGUGCUGUUGCUGCGUGCUAGAAGCAUGCUUCUGAUAAGGAUGAGAGAGCUCAAUUUGGAGUUGUGAUUCGACGAAAGUGUGAUUUCAACUGAGACUUUAUUAGUUUCUAUUAAAUGAUCUUUUAUUAUUCUUGCUUUUCAUUAUCAUUUUUUAGCGGAAGUACAAAUACAUAUGGUUUCUUUCUUUCUGCUGCUCUGCUGCUGCUGUUAAUAAUAAUAAUUCAAGAUUAAGCUAUUGAUUACUUGUGAUUGGGGUUGGUUUUAGUUAUCUUUUAAGGAUUUGGUUCGACAGAAAGGCAUAUUUGCUUUUCGGUUACAAACAUUUGGUUUAUAUACAGUUGUAGUUAGGCCUGCUUGUUAAUAGGCCGUGGAGUCUUCUGGGACUUUUCAUUCAAUGAGAUUCAUAGCCUACUGGAAUAUGGGCAAGCUUUAUUUCUAAUAAAUUAUUUUUUUUAUGCGUAAAUAAAAUAAAGCCACUUGCGCUAGUGAUCAACGGUGUGCUUAUGAAUCUAGAGGUGUGCAUGAUUUUUGUAAUUCUCAUAUUAAAUUGAAGAAUCG
rnacentral:misc_RNA from 1 species